UACCCCUAGUGUAAAUAAAUUCGAUUUCGAAACGUGACGUACGCGUUUGCGUUUAGUCUCAUUUUGUAUUGGAUUUAGAAAGAGCGCGCCAAGCGGGACGUUUUGGAAACUCAAAAUCCUAUACAAAAUGAGACUUAACGCAAACGCGUUCGUCACGUUAUGAUGUCGAUCAAAUUUACACUAGGGGUACAGAUCUUUACGUCUACGAACUUAUUGACGUAUCCGUCUUGGCUAAAAUUUAUGUAUUUGUAUAGAAUCAUAAACUCAUAAUUAAUGAUGAGCAUGUUGUGAUGAGCACACUGUCUUAUUUAAACUGUUUAUUAUGAUAAUACCUAGAUACGACUUACGUUAUUCUAAGUAAAAUGUAAUUAGUGGAUAACUGUCAUUGGCCAUCUGUUAUGUAAUCACUCAUAUGUAAAACUUUUAUUUACGGCUGUUGUCCUAAAUAUCAAUAAAUAAA